CCACACUUCUCCACAUCGUUCGGAAGGCAAAAUAGUCGAUUUCUCUCUCUAAAUUUCCCCUUUCCUUCCUGAAGUUCUCGUGUGUGGUUUUGGUUUCACGAAGAGAAAAAAGCCGAAAUCGUCUCUUAUUCAUUUUGACAAACUUGAUCCAUCGAUUGGAAGAUAGACUAAGUUAUGGAGAGGAUCGUUGGAGAGAAGUACAAGUUAGGCCGUAAGAUCGGCAGUGGAUCUUUUGGAGAAAUCUAUCUUGCGACCCAUGUUGACACGUAUGAGAUGGUUGCGGUGAAGAUCGAAAACAGCAAGACGAAACAUCCUCAGCUGCUUUAUGAAGCCAAGCUAUACAAUAUUCUUCAGGGAGGAAGUGGUAUUCCUGGAAUAAAAUGGUGUGGAGUAGAUGGGGAUGACAAUGUUCUUGUCCUUGAUUUGUUGGGACCAAGCCUUGAAGACCUAUUUGUCUACUGUGGAAGGAAGUUCUCACUGAAGACUGUCUUAAUGUUGGCAGAUCAGAUGAUUACAAGAAUAGAGUAUGUGCACUCUAAAGGAUUUUUGCAUAGGGAUAUCAAACCAGAUAACUUCCUGAUGGGUCUUGGUCGGAAAGCAAACCAGGUUUACAUUAUUGAUUUUGGUCUUGCAAAAAGAUAUCGGGAUGCUACAACUAAUCGACAUAUUCCUUACAGGGAGAACAAAAACUUAACAGGGACAGCACGUUAUGCAAGUUGCAAUACUCAUUUGGGUAUUGAGCAAAGCCGACGGGAUGAUUUGGAGUCUCUUGGCUAUGUUCUUUUGUAUUUCUUGAGAGGAAGCCUUCCGUGGCAGGGACUAAAAGCUGCCACAAAGAAGCAAAAAUAUGACAAGAUAUGUGAAAAGAAGUUAUCAACUCCCAUUGAAGUUCUUUGCAAGUCUCAUCCGGUGGAGUUUGCCUCAUAUUUCCAUUAUUGCCACUCCUUGACGUUUGAUCAACGACCUGAUUAUGGUUUUCUGAAACGUCUAUUUCGGGACUUGUUCACUCGUGAAGGAUAUGAGUUUGAUUAUAUAUUUGACUGGACCAUCUUAAAGUACCAGCAAGCGCAAAAGACAAAACCUCAGCCCCAAUUAUCUCCAGUUUCGGGAGGGACUAGUAGUCGAGCAAUGCCAAUGGAUGUUGAUAAGCAUCAAGGAGUGAACAAUGCUUCUUAUUCAGCUGAGGCUACAGAGCGAGUAAUAUCAAGUAAUGCUCCACGUCAUGGUGUUCGCAUGCAAUUUAAAUCUCCAGCGGACAAGAAUUUGACUGCUGAAAACGCUGUUGAUAGGAAUAACGUGAGCAAGUUCUCUGAGAAAGUUCAUGUGGGAUCUAGUUCAUUUCUUGCUGGUGCCUCCAAGAAAAAUGUUGUGAAACCAAUGGUGACAACUGAGGCUGUGCAUGCUAGUCAUGGGCUUGGCAGCAGAAUUGGUUCUUCAAGUAGUUGGCUUCCUUCACUACAACGCAACUCUUCAGCUAAGUGACUUCAAUCAAUCUAGAUGAGAAGACUCAUUUUGGACAAGAUUCAAAGGACAAAUGUAGAGAUGCUGUCUGGUGCCACAAAAGCUGCUUUUGCUCAAGUUCUUUUCUGAAUACCAGCUCUCAUGCAAUGUUUUCUUACGGUGACCAUAGACACAUUGGAUAAUGCAAAAUAUUGGUCAGCUCAAAAGCUUGGUUGCUGUUUUGUAUAUAGUUGGCUCGAAUUUCGCACACCAGUAUUCCAUUUUAAGGUUCCUUGUAACAUGGAUGGUACUCAAGUCCUGGAUCUGAAUAAAGUUAUCUAGUUUUCAGGUGCACAUUUUUCAUGAUUAUUAUUGUGGACAUUUUCACCAGGUACUGACAUGUUCUUUUAGUACGGCUUUAAUGGAAGCUUUAUAUCAUCAUGAUACACUGCUGUAGAUCUUAUCAAUUCUUUUGUCUUCAAAAUUGAUAUUACAGUUGAUUAAAUACGAAGUAAACAAUUGCAUGUGAGGAGCUCUGUUGAAUAAGAACUGUUCUAUGAAAAUAUUUUGCUUCAUAUGGAGGAAAGCAUUCUAAGAAUGAAUCUUGGGGUAAAUGUGUGGGAGGCUGCAAAAUAUAUUGAAGGGCUUCAGAGAGAUCAAGGUAGAUGAGAUCGUAAAGAUCAAAUUCAAUGGAUAUGAAUAAUUGACCGUGGCUGUUACCAUUUACCAACACCUGCUGAGGACUUUAGCUUUUUUCUCGUAAGAAUCAACACCAAGUUUGAAAGGUUUUUGGUAUAUCUACGUGGAAUGAUGUGACCAAUUUGCUACCUCACAGCGAUUGUUGUACUGUGGAACUGGAAGGGGAUUGGUAAGAUUGGACCCCUAGUAGAUGGAGCAAUGUGCCAAACGACAAGACGCAAUUGGUGAUGGAUUAAUUUCUUUACCUACUGUAAAGAAAAAUGGCGCUAGGAAGGUAUUCUGGUUGCAGAAGAGAGGCUAGUCCUUUAUGUUAACACUUUUUGGUUUCGUUAGUUUGGGGUGAAGUAACACCGUACAGUUGCCAAUUUUCCAUGUAUAUACCCAGUUGGAUUGCAGUCAAAAGGCAGCAGAGGGUGAUCUUUAGAUUUUAGUGAAUUAGAGAUGGCAACGGGGUACUCGAGCGAGAGUUGAUCAUAGGUUAUCGCAAACGGUGAUCCAUUCCAUUUCUAAAUUUCCUCUGGAGGGUAGACAAUUGUGAACAUUGCCAUCGGUAGGUCCUUUUUAUGCGAAGCUGGGUAGUUUUUAUCUGAUUCAGAUGUUUAAUUGUUAAACAAGUGGCCAAGCGUCAACAUUUUUAAA